AAGUUUCUAUAUAGCACGCAAAAUCAUGUUAUUUUCAUGGUCACAUCACGAACUUUUUGGAAAAAAACCAUGCGUGCAAAUCCGUUAUUGAAUAUCUGAAUGAUACAGAGGAGAUAGUUGUCCUAUCUAUGCGUCAUGUGAAUUCUAUUUAGUCUAAAAUUCCGUCUCUUAGAUGUGUGACCUUUAGAAUUUGAAAAGCUCAUGUGUGCAAAUACCUUAUUGAAUUAUUUAAUAUCUGAAUGAUACAGAGGAGAUACUUAUUCUAUCUAUGCGUCAUGUGAAUUCUAUUUUAGUCUAAAAUCCCAUCUUUUAAAUUUGUGGCCUUCAGAAUUUGAUUUAGUCUGAAUGAUACUUAGGAGGUACUUAUCCUAUCUAUCCAUUAUUGAAGCUUUUUAGAAUGGGAUGGAUGAUGCCCUGCUUACAUGAUCACGCUUGUUAGGCACCUCUUUAGAUGUGUGAAAAUGAUGUUCGCAAAAAAAAGGUGUGUGAAAAUGAUUAAGAGUAGCAUUGUGUAGAAAAUAGUUGUACAGAAGCAUACUUUUGCUAUGUAUUUUAUAGAUGUAUAUCAUUACAAGCAGCGGUGGAGCUUGGACCUAAACCCAGCAGGGGCCAAUCAUUAAAGAACAGUACUACUCUGUUAUUGUUAUCAAGUCAAAUGGCUGAAACUAAUGGAGUUCACAAAAGUUCAGGGGUGGCCAUGACCUAGUUGGCCCGGGAGAAGCUCUGCCACUGAUUACGAGAACCACAGAGUGUACACCUUUGUUGCUGGUUCCAUCUAGUGACAGUUUGUAGCUAGCUUGUCAAAAUCUAGUCACAAGAAUUCUGGGUCGACCGGGUCGAGGGACGCGGGUCGACACUCAACAAAAAUGUGGUAUGAAGAGGGUAUAUUUCUGCGGUAUGAGAACCAAAUAUUUGGUACAUGAACCCAAAGCCUAUGGGUCGAUGAUCCCGGUACGAAGCAUGGAGUCUUGUAUGUAUUGCAGUGGUUGACUUGUUGAUUUGGGACAUGAGGAUCUGUUUUCAAUCUCUUGGUUUUGCAUUUGACUUGUUGAUUACAGUCUAAAUUAGGAAACAAAUCAUAUAUAGUUUUUUUUGAACUGAAUCUCUUUUCCUUUUUUAAGACUAUACAUUAGGAAACAAAUCACAGGAUUUUUUUUUCACGAAGGGAAAUAGGGAAAUGUCCCACCACAUGCGACACUAAUUUUCUCCUCCAAAAACUAAAAGAAAGUGUGUAACUUGUACAGUCUCAUUAGAAAACAAAUAGAAGUUAGAGAAGCACAUGCUCAAUCGACGGGAUCCCCUGUCUGCCAUUCACGGGAAUGAGGUGCGGCGGCUGUCUAGCCCCCGGCGAGCGAGCGACCAGUCACCAGCACAAGCAUGGACGGCGGCGCGGCGCCAUAGAGCGUGGGGCACCUCUGAUUCGGUGCUGCCUCUGUCCUGAAUCUUACCGUCGACGGAGAUGCCAGUGAUGUCACGUCCGGGCCAGCGGCGAUGCCAGCGAGUGGAACCUCAAGCCCCAUCCAUAAGCCUUUGUUCAUCUGCAUCUCGCCGUCUAGGAUUGGUACUCGUCCCUUCUUGAACCCUGCUGCAAUGGGGCAUCGACCCGUCCAUAAAUGGGACGUCGACCCAUCUCGUACCUGUACCUCGCUUUGAGUUGGCGUAGCUGGUACGCGGUUCGCGGCUUCGUCCCUGAACCCUGUGACUAUGGUCAAAAUAGGUCCAUAGUGCUUUCCCUUUCAAGAGAAGAAUAAUUCUUUUGCUGGUUGUUAAGCCAUUACGAAAUAAUCCAAGUCACACUUGACAGCUAUCUAGUGUUUACUAAUAUGGUAAAAAUAUUCAGACAUGCGCUGUCCUUGACCAAAUUAUUAGCUACUAGUUGUAAUUCAUUAACUAAUCUGUUUUUUUAGCCAUAAAUACAGCAGGGGAAGCCCCCACUGUUGGUAUAUAAAUCAAAUAAAUAAACUGUACAGAGAGAAAGGGAGAAACGGAAAGGACUACAGUCUACAGGCUGUACAACUGUACAGAAAGAGAGGGAAAGAAGAGAAACAGCAGGAGGGAGUCAGCCUUGUAGUCCUAAAGAGGACAGAAAGGUUGCAGUGAUGUUGAGUGAGCAGUACGCGAAUUUAGUUAGUUGCAGUGAUGUGCACCCUAAAAAUUCUGGGUUGUGGGCCUGUUGCUGUUAUUAAUCUCUUGAUGAUGACUUAAUUUGAAGUGUGCUAUGAUCCUUGCUUUGCCCUCUUGUUCUUCUGGCCUACUGCUGUUAUUAGUCUUAAAAUGUUAGAACACUCCCCGUAUGAGGAAUAUCAUGUGCUCCGUGUUACAGGUGAACUUCCAUUAGCCUAUUUUCUGUGCCCACCCUUUAAUUUCUGCGAUCUGAAACACUGAUUUUGUCCACAAAAGCACUUAAACAGCAAGCAUUGGUCAGUCUUUUGCUUGCCUAGCUUGCCAUUUUAAUCCUUAAUGUUGUCAUAUGCAUACAUGAGAACCCUUCUAUAAACACAUAUGUAAAUUCACUUUUAAGCUAUUAGGCACCCUCAUUUCUUCAUACUGAAGCAUUUCUUUUGCAUACAUGUGCUCACUGUUAUUAAUCAGAUGACUAAUUGCGAUUAGUCAUCCUUAUUGUAACAUGGACCUUGAUUAGACCCUUGAUCUGAUUACCUUGACUAGAAACCUUUUUGUCCUGACUAAUGGAUGACUAAUCAUGAUUAGUUGUCCAAUUAAGCCACUCAGAUGAAUAGUUUCCCAGCCACCCUCCUCCCCUCCACCAAGGACCACCUGCCGCUGCUGCAGAUUGACUGCUUGAGGAUGGGCGCGAGGAAGGAGCUCACUUCCUUGUGCCUGCACUCAAGCAGUCAAGCUGCAGUGGCCGCAGGUGGUUCUCAAGCAGCACCAGCCAGGGGUUCAUCCUCAACCUCGACUCAACUGUGCUUGGCUGCUUGCUUUGUUUGCCUAAAUUUCACGCGCAGACCUUGAACUUGGCAGGGACUGAUUCUUUGGUUCGGGAGAUAUCAUUUGUUCACUGUAAAGUGCUAGGCAGGGGUGGAGUGGUUCUUAGCGCCUGAUAGCAACUAAACAGGUUACGUGGCAGGUACACACGAGGCUUGAUAUUUGACUGGGGCACUGGGCAGAGUUUGACAAGUUUCAGCAAUGGGGUUUGAUAAUGAAUGUAUCUUGAGUAUUCAAUCCCUUCCUGGUGAAUAUUUCUGCCCUGUUUGCCGGACACUCGUAUAUCCCAAUGAGGCCCUACAAACUCAAUGCACACAUCUCUACUGCAAAUCCUGCUUGGCGUAUGUAGUGGCAACCACACAAGCUUGUCCUUAUGAUGGAUACCUUGUAACAGAAGCUGAUUCGAAGCCUCUUAUGGAAUCAAAUAAAACCCUUGCUGAGACUAUUGGCAAAGUCGCGGUCUAUUGCCUGUAUAAUAAGAGUGGCUGCCAAUGGCAUGGAGAGCUAUCUGCCUGUAUCACACAUGGUGCUACUUGUGCAUAUGGUAACUCUCCUGUUGUUUGCAAUCGUUGUGGGACACAAAUUGUCCAUCGUCAAGUGCAAGAACAUGCUCAACUCUGCCAUGGCUUACAAUCUCAAACCCAACAAGCUGAUGGUAGUCAGGUGCAGCUAGCAGCGACAACAACUCAGCCAGUCACCCAAGAUCCAUCACUUGUCUCAGCUGGAUCUGCUGCACCUGCAGCUGCAACCCUACCAAAGCCGUCUUCAACUACAGCCACAGGUCUAACAGAUUCUGCAACAGCAACCGGAGGGGCAGCUGGUGCAACCACAGCAGCAGUGCCUUCUUCAGCUGCAUCUAUUCCCGCUUCUCAAACUCCAACAGCUGAGCAGUGGUACCAGCAGCAGCAGCUCCAAUUCUCGCAAUACUACCAGCAGCAGCACCCUGGAUCCAACCCUUACAUGCAGCAAUAUCAACAGUAUGACAAAUACCAGCAGGUGUAUCAGCAAUACAUGCAACCUCCAAUGCAAGUACUGUCCCAAAAUGUGGUGCCAGGAUCUGCACAACCUGCUUCCUAUGUUCAGCCUCAAGUGCAGUCCUCCCAGCUGAUGAUGCAAGCCCAAAGUCAGCCCCAGGUCCAUCCAUUGACAAGUCAACCACAGCUUCAGCAGCAUCCGGUUCAACCCCAACCCCAAAGUCACCCUCAUCUUUCCCAUGUUCAAGCACCUGCAGGUCAGUCGCAGCUUCACAAACCAAUUCAGUCAGCCCAAGUUCCACAGCUCCAACCAAGUCAAGUUCCUCUCCAACCAUCUGGUCUUCAAGUACAAACUGCAACACAUCCAUCUGCUCCUACUCAAGUUGGUAACCAGCAAUUUGCUACUCAAGCAACGGCUCAUCAAGUGCAGCCACAUGUACAAGCUCAACCUCCGCAGCAGCAGCAUAUUUUUGCACAGCAACAACAUCCACAUCUGCAAGCUUUACCUCCACAGCAAAAUAUUCAACCUCAGAUGCAGCUAAACUCUCAAGUUCAGCUCCAGCCUCCACAUGUCCAGCAGCAAGCUUACCCACAACUUCAGGCCUAUCCUCAACAAACACAUAUGCGCCCCCAGAAUGCUUCAUAUACACAGCAGCAAACACCACAAGGUGCUCUUUUGCAACCUGCACAUGUGUCUCACCAACAAGCACAUGUUUCUCAUCAUCCUGCACCGAUGCGUCCUCCAUUGCCAGGCCAACAGCCAGCUUUGCAGCCUCAAGGAAUCAAACAUACAACACAACAUGAAAAACAUAUUGGGUCUCAUGCUCAGUGGCCACCAAUGUAUUCCAACAUCCCUUCCCAGGCACCACCACAGGGAUUGCCCGCACACUCAUCUGUUUCCUCACAAUCAGUUCAACCAUACCAGCAAGCAAUUUCCUCAUCACAACAGGUGCAUUCCCAACCUGGUCAGCCUUAUACACAACAGCAUGUUACUGGCAAUACUGGACAACACGUUCAAACCUCAGCUGGCAGAUCUAUAACUCAUCUUGCACCAACGCAGCAAUUUCAGCAUCAACAGCCAGCAGUGCUUAGAACUGAGUCGCCUGCUGCUGUGCACCCUAUUGGGCAAGGUUCUUUAGAUCUUGAAAAAAAUACUUCAAAAUCAGGGAAGUCAGAAAAUGCAACUAAUGCUGCUGUCAGUGAAAAUAAAAAUAGCGGUACUGAGUCAGCUGUCAUGAGACCUACAAAGUCACAAUCGGGUGAUGAAAACAUGAACAGCGAACAGAAUGGUUUUGUCAGUGCUAGAAAAGAUGCAGGGCAGACUGGGAUUGUAUUACACGGUUUUGAUGGUUCAAUUAGGAGGGAUGGGAAUACUGACCAGGCAGGUAAUUCACAGGGUCCAAUUGUGCAGGGAGGCAAAGACCAUAAGGCUUCAGAUGCAUCUACUAAUCAUGAGAAAGGACGAUCAUUUCAGCAGGCAUCACUGCAAAAUGCAGGGGCACUGGGCUCUUCUGUGCCCCCAGGUGUGGUACCACAACAUCCAUCUGGACCAGAUAAAUUGCUUCCUCAGCAUAUGAUGAAUCCUGGUCAUAAGCAUGGUUUCUCUGAAAAUAACCGUCCUCCGUUGCAACAACCAUAUGGUUUGUUUCAUUCUGGAACGAUACCAAGGCCAUUUGGAGAGAACCAGAUUCAGAUGCCAAUGUCACAGCCUGGGGGUAUCAGACCUGGUGAUGGUAUUCGACCUCAUGUGGUUGGCGCAUUACCUGGACAUCAUGGUGCAGUAUUGCCUCCUUUUGAUCUUGAACGUUUGGGCCAGCCACAUCUUCUUGGAAUGUUGAACAGCAAUGACUUUGGUGGUGAGAGGUUCAACACUUCAGGGGGUGCAGCAUAUCCUGGAAGACAUGAUAAUAUCAAAGACGACCGGAAACAUUUUCCGGCGCCAGCCCCCCUGGAUGGUCAGGGCUUGCAAAGGGACCCUAGACAUUUUGAGAGAGCUUUAGGUAGACCUGAUGGUUUCCUUGAUUCAGUACCUGGAAGGCCUCCAUUUCCAAACCAUAGAAGUGCAGGUUUGCAUGAGGAUUUUCCAAGAAAGCAAAAUGCAACUGCCAGUCACCCUGACUUCCUGUCACAUGGAGCAGAAUUUGAUCAUCACAGGGCUAUUGAAAUGCCUAAUUUCAGAAACCCAGGCCCAUUUGCUCAAGGGACAAGUGGCGGUCCUGGUGGCCUCCCUAAAAACCAGCUCGGCUCUGGUAACCUUCCUGGGAAUUUACAACAUUCUUUUGAGGGUCCAGACUUCCGUCCAGCUCCUUUCAAUCUUGGUGACAUGCAUCCAGGUGACCGUGACCCUCAUCUUGUCGGUGACUAUUCUCAGCAUGGAUUUCCUAAAACUGCAGCACACUUUGGUUUGGGUGGAUUCUUGAGAAAUGGGAAUUCUGGUUGGUGCCGAAUAUGCAUGUUUAACUGUGGGAGCGCAGAUAAUCUGGAUAUGCAUGUACAAACAAGGGAACAUCAGCAAUGUGCAAUGGACAUUGUCCUGAAAAUGAAGCAAGAUGUUGCAAAGAGGCAAAAACUGAAUUAUGGAGGCCCCAAGUCAUUCAACAACAAAAAGGUUUCUGGGAAGGGCCAUUUUCGUGGGAAUAGACGCUAGUGUUACCUGAUUCAGCUUGAUAUAGUUUUGCAGGUUGCUACUGGUGCUUAUGGGCGUUUCAAAGGCAAUCGAGAAUUGAGAUCUCUUCAGACAUCCUGUUCAUGCGGUUCAGCGUAUUUGAAGUGGAACUUAAACUGGAAACUGUAGGAUAAUUUCCAGCAGAGGGCUCCUGUCAUACUUGCAUGUUUGCCUAACGAUGGUAAGGAUGACAUGCUUUGAUAAUGCUGGUAAGGAAAGAUAGGUAUUGUGCUUUUAUCACAAUGCACUUCAAACUUUUUGACAGAAGUUUUUCAUAUAUGGAUUAUGACUAAAGUGCUGAAGCCAAUCUGUGGCCUGGCAAUUACUUGAACACUAAAGUUUACAGUUUGUAUAAUUGUGAGGACAUUAUGAACUGCUAUGCUUUUGUUCGUAGGAAACAACAUAAGAUAUAGUUAUGUGUAAACUAAUGGAUUGUGUAUGUAUAUAUUCAUUCUGGGUAAGGAGUGAUAUUAUGGCGGCUUGGUUGAACUCAAUUUAUGUGAUCGGCAAUUGGUUGCCCCAUUGUGUGUUUGAUCACUUUCCAGCCUUAGUUAGCUGCCUGGUAGCGCUACCCACAGAAGAUAACCCCCAAUCAAACAAAUAAAGCUGGUUUGGCGUAACAUGGAAUAUAUUUCUCCCAAACACAGGUUGGCUGGUGUUAGAUUUGUUUUAUACAUUUUUUUGCUUCAAUUAGGAUCACUUUCAUAUGACUUUCCUUCACCCUCCUAGUGAAGUGUCAAAAUGCUUAGUAAUUUGCUAGCUAUCUUGCUUAGUGGAUUUCUUUUUAGCCAGUUGUUGCUUUUUCACGACACGCCUUCGUUUACCCUGCAACUUGAACAGCUGGAAGCUUGCCCUUUCAUACUCUGAUACUUAGAUAAGUGUGUAGCGACCCUUUAUUUUUAGAGUUUCAGGGAUAACACCCUGGUCCAUUUGCAUUGCAUCAGGAUUAAAAGUCACAAUCAGUUGCAGCCCAAACUUGCCAUUUUGGUUGGUCAAAACCACCUGCUCAUGGAUUUUGUCCAAACUACUCACAGGGUUGUCGUUCACAUGUGUAACCUCUUCGACAUACUAGAUUUUUUAUAGAACUAGGUAGAAAGGUUAUCUAGCAAGAUGAUAGUAUCGUUCAGAACUUGAUGCUUUCCACUCUACUACCCUUGCUAUUAGUUUGGAUACGACCAAUCUACACUAUAAAAGGCCUCCACAUAUUUAUUCCCUUUUGCUGCAUGCACAAUUUGGUUGCCUGGUUGCAAAUGAAUUUGCUACAGAUUUAUUCCCUCUUCAAAAUUACAUGACAUAUUUUACGUUGCUCAACGACAAGAAAUCAUUCUAAGAUGAUUUGCACUGCCUAUUUAUUUUCUUUGAUUGGAAUGGGGUUGGCUACCAUGAUGACUUACGAAUUGGAAUCCCAAACUCUGGGUUCAUCUAUGGUGGGUAAUAAUGAAAACAUGUAAGUUCCACUCAGUUUUUGACCCAUAGACUGAUCUGGUAUUAAUUGCCUGAAGCUGAGGUUAGUAGACUAUGCUAAAUACAAGCAUUUUUGUAGUACAUAUUCUAAGGAUCCAGCCAAAAAGUCUGUUUUCUUGAAUCUUGGAUUUUUCUCCUAUUUAGCUCUGAAUGAAUUUUAGAAUCACUGGUGCUGGUGCCAUUUGUCACUAGUGUCAAUAGUAAAAGGAAACGAAAUGUUGCAGCGUGAUAGUAUUAUACCACUAUUAUCAAUCGGAUUGCUGUUACAAUAGUAACUUGCAGUGCAGUAUAUUCAAUUUGCUAGUAAUUAGCAACUUGGUGACAUUAUUUGCUGUUUGUGCUUGUCAUAAUGUAGACGAUCUGUGUUUCUUGCCUCUGUUUUCUGUGUUUCUUUGGGAUUCUUGUAGAUGGUGGAUGUGCCUGGGUGCCGACUACUGUUUGAACGAACUGACCACGCCCUCAUUUUCUGCCAGCAUCGGAUGUUUUUGACUGACUCCAGUAUGUACUGUUGCUGAGGUUUAAAUUGUAAAAUUCCCAUCCCGUAGUUCGUUCCUUACCAACUAAUGCACAUGCACCCAAGGUGUAAAAGAAAAUUCUUGUAAUUUAUUCACAAAUAUUUCUAUACAAGUUUGCAGUGUAAAUAAAUAUAACAAUGUUCGUUUCAAUAGAGUGCACCUACUAAUUAAUGUACCUGCUCCUUGUAAAUAAACUCUUGUAUUCGUAAAACUUUUUUUAAUAAAAGUUUCAGUGCGAGAAACCGAUGUAACAUUCAGUGUAUGACGACUAAUUAACCUACUCGAAUGUAAAUUAUUGUAGUAUAUUCUUAAGGGCAUGGAUGAAGUUUCUGGUAUUCUUUCAAAAUUUCUAUAUGAAAAAUUCUACUUUGUAGCGUUUAGCUA